rnacentral:rRNA from 1 species
GACGAACGCUGGCGGCGUGCCUAAUACAUGCAAGUCGAACGCACUCUCGUUUAGAUUGGAGGAGCUUGCUCCUGAUUGAUAAACAUUUGAGUGAGUGGCGGACGGGUGAGUAACACGUGGGUAACCUGCCCUAAAGUGGGGGAUAACAUUUGGAAACAGAUGCUAAUACCGCAUAAAACCUAAACACCGCAUGGUGUAGGGUUGAAAGAUGGUUUCGGCUAUCACUUUAGGAUGGACCCGCGGUGCAUUAGUUAGUUGGUGAGGUAAAGGCUCACCAAGACCGUGAUGCAUAGCCGACCUGAGAGGGUAACCGGCCACACUGGGACUGAGACACGGCCCAGACUCCUACGGGAGGCAGCAGUAGGGAAUCUUCCACAAUGGACGAAAGUCUGAUGGAGCAACGCCGCGUGAGUGAAGAAGGUUUUCGGAUCGUAAAACUCUGUUGUUGGUAGAAGAAUGUAUCUGAUAGUAACUGAUCAGGUAGUGAC